UAUUGUUGGAAGACAAGAGCGCCACAACACAAAUCAGUGCAAGAAAAUAAAAGAGAAGAAAAAGAAUGCAAAGUAAGACAAAGGGGCUCUCUGUAAAGAAGAAUCUAAUUUUAUUGAUUAAAUAGUUCUUAAAUACAAGAGAAUGAGGAAAAGAUGCAAUAAAAAUAAAAGAAUACAAAAUUAGAGGUUUCGAAUCUCUGGGGCAGAAGUGGGGGAGCUCGGUGCCCCCAGACGGUUGGCUGCGGCAACCGCGGU
rnacentral:lncRNA from 1 species